ACAGUGGUAAUUCAGAUAUUCAAUAGAUGUCUCUAAACUGGCGGGACAAGAAACAAAGAUUUGGCGGAAAAACCGUUUUUCCGGUGCGUAGUGUAAAAGUGAGAAAUAGGGGAGAAACACGAAACGGACUGUAUGUUGCUUAGUAUUUAUUUUUAUUUGGACGUAUGGAUGGUAAUAAUAGACAUAGAUGUAAAAGUUCUUGGUGAUGAAGUUGGUCAUAAAAUUGGCAACCCGGUUAAUGCUGACUUUAAAAAUGAUUCUAAACCAGCACAAUCGGUACAAGCAGUACAAUCGGCGCAGUCUCCAUCUCAACAAACAAAAUUGUACUAUAAUUUAAUAAAAUAACUAAAAUAAUCCUUGUAGAUAAAAACUAAUCACAAGUUAUAUUGUUACUUUAUUAGAUUACUUACAAAAACAUAUCACGAAUUCAACUUCCACGAACGAUAUAUCAACAACUCCAAUUGUUGCGCUGAGUUUUUAUGAAAAUACGCAAGUUUAAUAUAAUUUUACUCUAUUUUUGUAACACCGAAGUAAUCUAAAUGAUAGUACAUUUCACAGAUGGGUAAUAAAAGCAUGAAUUUUUCGUAAAUCUGGUAUCAGAAUAUGGAGCAACUCAUGUGGUGAAGGAAAAUUAUUUUACAUGAUUGUGUAAAUACUAUGAUAUGCUUGAGGUAUGCCUUAUACUGAGGAGUUCAUAAGUUGAAGAUUCUGAUGAGUCCAUGAAUCUGCUUAUGGCAAUAAAAGAAGUUUGAGUUUGUGAAUUGAAAUAUGAUGAAGAAUUCCCCAAUUAUAGAUAUCAUUUAUUAGCUAAUGAUGAAAAGAGGUUGAAAGCAACUUGUCUCAGUAUAUCCCUGGUGGAUUACCAAGUCUAUAAAAUGACCACUUAAUAACUUAAAUCAAGAAACUAGCUUUUAUUGUAUAUUAUCUAUGGUCAUUGAAUGUAACUAUUUUUUUGUUGAGGUGGAGACUGCAUGUGACUAUUAUCACCAUCACGUCUAGAUAAAGAUACAUGCAUAAUAAAUUAUAAGUUUGUUUUACAAUUUUAUCAAAAAAAUAUCCUACCUUCAAAUAAGAUAAACCAAUAGAAUAAGAUAGGGUAAGAUGGAAUAACACAAAAAUUUGUAACCUGUUUUAAAAACUGUUAAAAAUAAUCUGGUAGAUAUAUUAAAGCGUUAGGUAUUUUAUUAAGAAUAUAUUACAUACUUUUGCAUUUCAGUUUUGUUUACCAUGUUUAUGGCAUAUCUAUUUAUUUGACAAAUAGAAAACUUAGUAUAUAAUCUGUGAUCAUUGAAUUUAACUAAUAAGGAGAGGGCCUUAGGGUAGUGUUAUAUGUUAAUUAACUCUAUAUAACUAAGUAACAUAUAAUAGUGAAAAAAACAUGAUUCAUAAUAUUUAUUAUAUCAAAGUGGUAUCUUAAAUAGCAUUCAAUUACAAACCGAUCAACUUUUAUCACU